AGGACGAACGCUGGCGGCGUGCUUAACACAUGCAAGUCGAGCGGAAAGGCCCUUCGGGGUACUCGAGCGGCGAACGGGUGAGUAACACGUGAGUAAUCUGCCCCUAGCUCUGGGAUAGCUCCGGGAAACCGGGAUUAAUACCGGAUAUGACCACUUUAGACAUCUGCUGUGGUGGAAGAAUUUCGGCUAGGGAUGAGCUCGCGGCCUAUCAGCUUGUUGGUGGGGUAACGGCCUACCAAGGCGACGACGGGUAGCCGGCCUGAGAGGGCGACCGGCCACACUGGGACUGAGACACGGCCCAGACUCCUACGGGAGGCAGCAGUGGGGAAUAUUGCGCAAUGGGCGAAAGCCUGACGCAGCGACGCCGCGUGGGGAGUGAAGGCCUUCGGGUUGUAACCCUUUCAGCAGGACGAAGCGAAAGUGACGGUACCUGCAGAAGAAGCGCCGGCGUAACUACGUGCCAGCAGCCGC
rnacentral:rRNA from 1 species